AGAAGUCUGGUUGUGAUAGGAGCCCCGUUCUUGUAGGGACAGAAAAGAAAAGGAGUGGAACAUGGUCCAGCUGCCAGAAGAAAAAUUGGAUUGAUGAAAAGGGUCUCCAAUUUGGGCUGCUGCCUGAAAGACUUUGAAAAGUUUAGUUUUACUCCAGUCCCCACAGAUGAGCUCUUCAACAACCCUACAGUGAAUCUGUGCUCAGUGGCCCAGCCAACCAGCAACUGGCUGAGUUGGUUAGCAGAGCAGUGUUGUCUGGCUACAGCUGCGUCACGGUGAGAGGAGACCCCAGCCUGGCAAUUAGUACCAUUAGUGGUCAUGCCUGGAACUGCCCAGACCUUUGUGUCACUUGGGUUGAUGCCCAGAAGACAUCAGUACACCCCUUACCACUUCAUCAGGAAAUCUCCAUGGACUAUCAGUUUCAUUUCUCCUCACAGAACUACAGGGAAAGGUACCAGAACUUCCAGGAUUUCCCUGGACAAACCUUGUAUCUCCUCCCCAAGUAUAGCGUAUUCUGAUCUAGGAGACAUGGACCCUCUGGAACAUUUUUUUAAAAGAACAAUGAUAUCUAGUAUUUUUCCGUGAGAGACAUCAAUCCAUUUGGCACCCAGGAGGUCAUGCAACAGAAAUUUGAUCUGCUGAUUGGCAAAAGACAAAGGUCUGUCCAUCUGAGUUUUGAUAUUGAUGUAUUUGACUGUACACUGGCUCCAGCUGCAGGAAUCCCUAUUGUAGGGGGACUGACCUUUCAAGAAGGCAUCUAUAUUACUGGGGAAAUACAUAGUACAGGGUUGCUGUCAGCACUGGAUCUUGUUGAAGUCAAUCCUCAACUGGGCACUUUAGAGGAAAGGGCAAAGGCCACAGCUAGCCUGCCAGUAGAUGUAACUGCUUUAUGUUUGGGUCAGACAAGGGAAGGAGGGCACAUUGCCCAUGGCCAGAUUUUCUCGUUUCCCAGCCAAGUCAGAAAAUGAAGUGUGUGUGAGAAUU
rnacentral:lncRNA from 1 species